rnacentral:rRNA from 1 species
AGCGAACGCUGGCGGCAGGCCUAACACAUGCAAGUCGAACGAACCCUUCGGGGUUAGUGGCGGACGGGUGAGUAACACGUGGGAACGUGCCUUUAGGUUCGGAAUAACUCAGGGAAACUUGUGCUAAUACCGAAUGUGCCCUUCGGGGGAAAGAUUUAUCGCCUUUAGAGCGGCCCGCGUCUGAUUAGCUAGUUGGUGAGGUAAUGGCUCACCAAGGCUACGAUCAGUAGCUGGUCUGAGAGGAUGACCAGCCACAUUGGGACUGAGACAUGGCCCAAACUCCGACGGGAGGCAGCAGUGGGGAAUCUUGCGCAAUGGGCGAAAGCCUGACGCAGCCAUGCCGCGUGGAUGAUGAAGGUCUUAGGAUUGUAAAAUCCUUUCACCGGUGAAGAUAAUGACUGUAGCCGGAGAAGAAGCCCCGGCUAACUUCGUGCCAGCAGCCGCCGUAACAC